rnacentral:pre_miRNA from 1 species
UGUAUUCUCAGCUUUGAGAACUGAAUUCCAUGGGUUGUAAUUGAAUCUCUGUCAGACCCAUGGGGCUCAGUUCUUCAGCUUGGAUAUCUCUGUCUU